rnacentral:rRNA from 1 species
ACGAUAACGGCGUCGAGCGGCGGACGGGUGAGUAAUGCCUAGGAAAUUGCCCUGAUGUGGGGGAUAACCAUUGGAAACGAUGGCUAAUACCGCAUGAUGCCUACGGGCCAAAGAGGGGGACCUUCGGGCCUCUCGCGUCAGGAUAUGCCUAGGUGGGAUUAGCUAGUUGGUGAGGUAAGGGCUCACCAAGGCGACGAUCCCUAGCUGGUCUGAGAGGAUGAUCAGCCACACUGGAACUGAGACACGGUCCAGACUCCUACGGGAGGCAGCAGUGGGGAAUAUUGCACAAUGGGCGCAAGCCUGAUGCAGCCAUGCCGCGUGUGUGAAGAAGGCCUUCGGGUUGUAAAGCACUUUCAGUCGUGAGGAAGGUAGUGUAGUUAAUAGCUGCAUUAUUUGACGUUAGCGACAGAAGAAGCACCGGCUAACUCCGUGCCAGCAGCCGCGGUAAUACGGAGGGUGCGAGCGUUAAUCGGAAUUACUGGGCGUAAAGCGCAUGCAGGUGGUUUGUUAAGUCAGAUGUGAAAGCCCGGGGCUCAACCUCGGAAUUGCAUUUGAAACUGGCAGACUAGAGUACUGUAGAGGGGGGUAGAAUUUCAGGUGUAGCGGUGAAAUGCGUAGAGAUCUGAAGGAAUACCGGUGGCGAAGGCGGCCCCCUGGACAGAUACUGACACUCAGAUGCGAAAGCGUGGGGAGCAAACAGGAUUAGAUACCCUGGUAGUCCACGCCGUAAACGAUGUCUACUUGGAGGUUGUGGCCUUGAGCCGUGGCUUUCGGAGCUAACGCGUUAAGUAGACCGCCUGGGGAGUACGGUCGCAAGAUUAAAACUCAAAUGAAUUGACGGGGGCCCGCACAAGCGGUGGAGCAUGUGGUUUAAUUCGAUGCAACGCGAAGAACCUUACCUACUCUUGACAUCCAGAGAACUUUCCAGAGAUGGAUUGGUGCCUUCGGGAACUCUGAGACAGGUGCUGCAUGGCUGUCGUCAGCUCGUGUUGUGAAAUGUUGGGUUAAGUCCCGCAACGAGCGCAACCCUUAUCCUUGUUUGCCAGCGAGUAAUGUCGGGAACUCCAGGGAGACUGCCGGUGAUAAACCGGAGGAAGGUGGGGACGACGUCAAGUCAUCAUGGCCCUUACGAGUAGGGCUACACACGUGCUACAAUGGCGCAUACAGAGGGCAGCCAACUUGCGAAAGUGAGCGA